CUUUUAUAGGAUAAUAGUAAUCCAUUGGUCUUAGGAACCAAAAAUCUUGGCGCAAUUCCAAAUAAAAGUA
rnacentral:tRNA from 1 species